UGAGUCUGAGUCUGUAAUCUGUGUAGUUUGUGUUUUAUCAGAGGCAGAACGUUCAGUAGUCGAGGGACGAAGACAACAGACUGAGACGAGCCAAAAAGCAUCAAAUGCAUUGCCUCUCUGUAAUGAAAUCAUGUUCAUGUUUGGAGCAGUUGGUCUUGUUUUGUUGAGCUCUGUUACACUGACAGCAGAACUGAUUCUGAAAGCACGGAAUGGUGAGCGUGUCAUGAAGGAUAUGAGAGUCGUUGUCUUCCUUUCUGAAUGUGUUUUUGCUUUGUAUUGGCUGGUUUUACAAAUGCAUGC